ACGCUGGCGGCAUGCCUAACACAUGCAAGUCGAACGAGACCUUCGGGUCUAGUGGCGCACGGGUGCGUAACGCGUGGGAAUCUGCCCUCAGGUACGGAAUAACUCAGGGAAACUUGAGCUAAUACCGUAUAAUGACUUCGGUCCAAAGAUUUAUCGCCUGAGGAUGAGCCCGCGUCGGAUUAGCUAGUUGGUGGGGUAAAGGCUCACCAAGGCGACGAUCCGUAGCUGGUCUGAGAGGAUGAUCAGCCACACUGGGACUGAGACACGGCCCAGACUCCUACGGGAGGCAGCAGUGGG
rnacentral:rRNA from 1 species